ACGAUGUGGAGCGAAUACCAGAAAAUAAUGUCCCAGUUCAGAUUGCAGGCUGCAACUCGCCUGCAUGAAGUCGGAAUUGCUAGUAAUCGCAGAUCAGCAUGCUGUGGUGAAUACGUUCCCGGGCCUUGUACACACCGCCCGUCACACCAUGGGAGUCGGUAACACCCAAAGUUGGUAGUCUAACCGCAAGGAGGACGCCGCCUAAGGUGGGAUUGAUGACUGGGGUGAAGUCGUAACAAGGUACC
rnacentral:rRNA from 1 species